UACGAAGGGGGCUAGCGUUGUUCGGAAUUACUGGGCGUAGAGCGCACGUAGGCGGAUUGUUAAGUCGGGGGUGAAAUCCUGAGGCUCAACCUCAGAACUGCCUUCGAUACUGGCGAUCUUGAGUUCGGAAGAGGUUGGUGGAACAGCUAGUGUAGAGGUGAAAUUCGUAGAUAUUAGCUAGAACACCAGUGGCGAAGGCGGCCAACUGGUCCGAUACUGACGCUGAGAUGCGAAAGCGUGGGGAGCAAACAGG
rnacentral:rRNA from 1 species